ACUUGAGAGCAGGUUUAGGCGAGUGGAGAGUCCGGAGCGCGCCGGGGAGUCUGCGCCCUGUUUGGCGUUGGCAAACCCUGGUGUCAUCCCGGCUACCCAGGCCGGCCUGGCGUGCAGCUGCCCUGGUUGUGGCCCUGGAAUCCUCGCCGGGAGGAAGAAGGCGGCGGGCACGAGUAGGAGAGCCUCUCCAGCUACGGAGGAAGAGGGUUAAACCUGGAGAAGGGGAGACUCACCCUUGAAAAUGUUUGAGACUGUUCCUAGCAAGAAAGUGCUCAUUUUCCUUGGAGGUCCAGGUGUUGCUUGCAACAGAAACAGAGGCUUCUCGCAUUUUCUUGCACUGGCGAUGCACCUAGUCAGAGGUAGUGGAGUGAAAAAUAACUCUGGAGGGAAUAAGGACAUUCUUGGCAACCUUUCCAAAAAAGAGCUAGCCCAGACUGAGAGUAUGCAUCCUUGACUGACUAUUCAGCUCUUUAAAAAUUCUGUGUUGUUUGUCUUUUGUUGUAAUCUUGGUCGCCAGAACCAUCUAUAUACUGAUCUCUUUAAGGUACAGUUAACUUACAGUGUCUCACUUACAUGCGCUGCUGAGGUGAAGGUGUUUAAAAUCAAUAAGUGUAAGUAGUUUCCCUGGAAGAGAGAAGUAAAACGUACCAAUCACUCAGUGCUGGAAUAUUUUUAUGCUAAGCAUAAUUUCCUUCUUUAGUAGUUAGAGCAGUUUUUUAAAAAAAAUAGUUAACACGAUGCAGAAGUCAAACAGCAUGAUUCUGUUUCCGUAUUUUCCUCACUUUUUGGUAUGCUGCGGCACAUUUAGAACAUGAUCUGUCUGGAGGUUUUAUUCACAUGGUGGCCUGCCCUUCAGGGAGAACUUGCUUGCCUUCUUUCUUUGGCAGUUUGGAUUUGACCUAGCCCUGUGGUAUGUGCAAGUAGGAACAUCUACAAACGGUUAACUCUUUAAGUCUUCCUACGAUUUAUGUUCAGUUCAUUCACACACACACACACACACACACACACACACACACAAAAGCUUUGAUUGUAAUUAUGAACGUGAAUUAAAACUGUUUCAGGCCAUCAGAUUUAUGUAAAAGUUAGGCUUGUUUUGUUCAUUUUAAUAAAAGAAUAGUGACUUAAAAAUUACAGUCGUGAUAACAAAACUGUGAACAGCAGUGGCAUCUAUGUGGGUUUUUGUUUUUCUGAAGAUGUCGUAUUGACAAGCUUAUUUUGUAUCGGUUAUGCCCUUGCAUUGUUAAAAUAAUUGGACUGAUUUCUCCAGAACCAUAUUCCUUUACAGGCUCUGUAAAGACACUCUUGUCAUUCACAGACUCUGGCUGGAGCAAUGGGAAAACACUAGCAUGUGUAAUUACAUAGACUGGAAUAUUAAAUAUACUGUUUUGUGAUGAUAAACUACAAAAUUAUCGUCCCUGAGCUUUUCACCUACUGACUUAUAGGUUUGAGACAAAAAUACUAUACACUGGAACAUAAAGAACAUAUGUAUAUAUAGGCCACAAAACAUGAAAUCUGUUAUUCACUAAAUAUUGUGAAUAAAGUUAAAUUUAAUCGUGAAAAUUAUUUUGACACAUAAAAAGGGAGAAGGAUUGUGAAAAUGUGUUUUAUAUUAGUGAGUUAAGUGAUUUUAUACUAUUCAAAUUUAAGUGUAAAAAUCUACUGCAAUAAAUUAUUACAUUAGAAAUGUUUGUAUAUAUGAUUGAAAUGUAUGCUUACAUGUGCAAUGUCUUAUAGGAAUAAUAUAUGUAAGGUUCCUUGGCUAUAGUUUUUUCCAGUAUACAUUUACAAUAUUGUCUGUCUAGUGAUAUUAAAUGAGCCAAAUUUGAACACUCUCAAGUCCAAGAAUGUUGAACUGUGGGAAACAAAGGUGUCAUAAGAAGAAAAUGACUAUUUGUGUGCUUGUCUAUUCACCAAAUGAAACUUCCCACAUUUCAAAAUAGGAAAGAUUUGGUUUUAGUUCUUGGCUUCUAGGGGAUCAAUAUUCUUGGCCUAACCCUUCACAACCAAAGAAAGAGCCCUCAUAAUCGGCCAUUCAUUAAAGAAAGGCAAUGUGGCAUUGCUGUUAUUAACCAGCCUUCACACCUCUUGCCUGAAUCUGGUUGAGCUUUUAACAAAGUAAAUUUUCAAGCCAUUUUCAUUCAUAUGUACCAAAAUGUAAAUUUGCUUUUAAUUUCCUCAUAUCUUGUGUUUGAAUUGAUAGAGGUAUAUUUUUAUUCUUGCUCAGUUUUGUCCUAAAGAUUAAAAAAAUCCCAGCAUAUAGGAAAUGGAAUAGUCUGUGUGAGUGAAUAGUGAAGGAAAAUAAAUUGAAAGAGAAUUG
rnacentral:lncRNA from 1 species